rnacentral:lncRNA from 1 species
CAAAUUAUUACAUCACGUGACCGAAUGGUCAAGUUCACAAGGUAGAGCCUAUAAGGCCAAAUCACACUGAUACAACUAGUAGCGGAAAUUAUAGGGCUAAGCGGGUGCCCAUGCCAUCAGCCUACACCAACAGGCAUUCUAACUGGGAAGCGUGCUAGUUCACAGGGGCGUCUCUGAAGACGUACUCAUCUCCAAACUCCGGUCCUUCGAUGUCUGGUCAAUAAUAUAACAAGUGGCAAGCCAAUGAGUACUUUUGAAUGUACUCGCAAACAUCCCAUGACAUGAACAAUGCAAGUGAAGGAUAACAAUACCAUGCUUCUUUGGUGGAUAUCUCUUGGUGGUAAAUAAACAUGAGCACGGGUAUGCAUCAUAAGUUAAGAACUAAUUUUGAAGAACAGGUUACAUAUAUCAAUAUAUCUGUCAGAGGCUGAACCACCCGGGUUCACCCUAUAUACCAAGUCACCAAACUUGGUCAUAUCAAAUCUUUCAUAAUAACUCCUUUUUAUCACAACUCAUACACACUUGGUUUAUGCGGAAACAACUCGACGUAGUUUAAGCAGCACCACCCAACUGUCCUUGACUGUCGACACGACUAUUCGUAAAGUUUUACACUCUCCAGAGGUAGUAUGAUGUACCCACAAGAUCCGAGAAACUUCCGUGUCAUCCACGAAUCGCGGUAUCUAACAUACCCGAGGUAAGUACCCAAUCAAUGCCUUUCCCCUGACGAUACUAGCCAAAGAGGUCCACUAGAUUGGUACCCAGCCCACAUGUUGUACGUCUUACGAGCAUCGACUCUAGACAGUAUCAACCAUGCAGAGACCAACGGUGUGCCUAGAACACGUAUAAACGGCAUAGUCGCCCUACCUAGCACGACCCCAUCACGAGAGUGACCACACAUCACAACCGCCACUAGUAAUGUGGCUCUUUGCUAGCACCGAUUAGAGUAAUCAACACAGCUCCGUCCCAUAAGGGGUAACGUGGUCGUACAUCUAAGGUUGGGACAGUCGACACAUCAUAAAUCUAAUCCCAUUUCCGAAACCAUACUCACGCAAAUACCCGGUGCACCACUUCACCAAAAGUGGCCUCCUAACUCAUCAUCACCCUCGGGCAGUAUUGGCACCCGAUGGGAUUUUCAUAAUCUUUGAUUUAUACCAACAACAUGCUCAUGCUAAUAUUAUUCUACCUUUACUUGUGACCAUGAUAUUAGCAUGACCCUCAUAGGUGGUAGGAUCAAGCUCAAUGCAUGUGCUCCGGAGGAGCCAUCGGUAACCUUACAUCAGUGAUUUACCAGCACUUAUGAUCAUAUGCAACGAAAAUAUUUGCUACACUAACAUGCAUCAUAACAUAUGCUCACACAUGGUCAAAGGGCUGCUUGCCUUGGUCUGCUAGGUAUCCGGGGUCUUCGAGGUCUUCUGCUCCGAUUCCCUCGUCACACAGAUUUUCUAUCGCCGUCAAAAGAUAAAAUAAGAAAUAGCUCACUCCAAAAUAGAUCAUAAAGUAAUUUUAAAAAUGUUGGUUAUUUUUGAUAAUUCUAGGUUGUUAUUUUAAAAAUAUUUGCCUCUGAUUCCAAUGAAGAAAUAUUUUAAAAAUCAACUAAACAGAAGCAAAAUUAUUCCAAUUUAAUCUUGUUUAUUCUUAUAAAAUAGAAUAGCUGCUUCAAAAAUUCAACCAAUGGUUCUAUUAAAUACUACAUACUUUUAGAAGAAUAAAAGUGGAAAAUUUAUAUUUUUACACUCGUUAAAUCUUUUUAUAAAAAUCUUUGAAUAUCCAGUUUUUAAAAUAAAUAAAAAGGGCUACAACCCAUAGUCUGGCUUGGGCUGGGACUGGGCCGGCCCAAAGGCCAGCCACCUAGCCUUCCCACGCGUGCGCGCCAUCAGGUUUGAACCUGACGUGUGGGCCCGUGCGGUCAGCGGCUGCGGGUAGCGAGGUAGAGAGAGAUGGGCCACCGACUCGUGGGCGACACAUGUUGGGGUCGUCUCCUACAUCUAGCCAGAGAGGAGGAGGAGCACGCCGGCGUGGCUACCGACGUCCUCGGGCCCCAAAGAAGACAGAAAUGGCUCUGGCUUGUCGUCGCCUACCUGUUGAUGGUCGGAACAACGACGGAGAGGCUCAGGUUCACCGGCGACAAGGAGGCCAAGGCGUAGGAGUUUCGGGCAAAGGUCGCGGGGGUAGCUAGGGGCACGAAUUAGCUUGGGAAAGUUGGGGGAAAGCUCCCUGAGGUCAAGGGGAGUGGUUUGGUGGGCAGAGGGACGCGAGAGUCGUCGUGUAGCCGGAGAUCGACCGGAGCUCCGAGGCGGAGGGCCCUCGGUUGAUCUCGAGCAACGGGGCUCUACUGGCUUGCUAAGGUGGCUAGGGAGGUGCUAGAGGUUGUUGCGAUGCUGUCUGAGGGGUGCUGGAGUGAGAGGGGCUAUUUAUAGGCCCGCGACGGUGAGCCGACUCGGGAGUGCCGGUGACUCACCGUGGCGAGCAUGGGGGUGCAGAGAGGAGCUGGGGUCGAAAACACGGUCUCAGAACGUGGUUUUGGACUGCCAGAACCUACUGCGAGGAGUGCCUCUGAUGGUCGCCUGAUGCAGAGGGGUUGUCGGGGAAGAAGUUGGACACCUCGGGGUAGGCUGGAACUGGCGGAGGGCGUCGCCCCCACCUUGGAGUUCUCUAUAGUGCGCCUAGAGCGCAGUUUUGGCAUGCCACGGCAUGCUGGCUCACUCUGAGGUGCUUUGGACGUGUCCAGCAUGUCCUGGGCACUGGCUGGGUUGAGGCUAGCCGUUGAAGUCCCGUGGGAGCUUCGGCUGCUCAAGGGAGACAAGAGAAACAGGUGUUGUCAACUUUGAGGUGGAGCUUAAAAUGGAUAUUUUGGCAUUUCUACUUUGAACGAGAGAGGAUCCAGUUGACUGGGGUUGGGCAUUGAUACUGGCCACCUAAUCUGAGAGUUUGGGGCAAAGGGGCUGGGUUUAGCUAUGGUUAGAGGGGCUUUUACCCAUCUGUGAGAAGGUGCUCGAUAGUGGUUUGGGGUGGUUGCACCCCACCACUGGUUCUGCAACUUAACAUGAUUGGCUUUGGUGCUAAAACAUGGGGUUUCACCAAGUUUGACCUCCAUUGGACAAGUUUAGCUUUGUAAACUUGAAAACUUCACCAUUUGACCAGAUUUGUUCCUUCCAAAGAGAGUGUGGGCAAACUAAGUCCCACAAAUCCCAUUUUUGGUGUGGAACCCUCAUUUGAGGUAUUAGGCACUCGUGCAAAGUUUCAACGUCAUUGGACAAACUUUGCUAUGUAGAGUUGAUCUAUCUUUAAUGUGGACAGAAGGGGUUUUCUAGUUAUUUGGUUUCCUUAAUCACCUUGGAUCAAGGUGAAACUUUAUGUGGACACCAAUUAUGGCUUGGGGAUACCACUGGAAUUUUCUAGGAAUUUAUUGAGAAUAUUUCCUUUCGAAAUAUUUCAAAUGGUCAAAACAGACAGAAAUGGUUUUCAGGGUUUUACUCAAUUAAUAUUAAUAUAAAUAGGGGUUAAAAAUCUUAUGUAUGGAAAAUAUAUGUCCUUCUGAUCAUCUCUAAAUUUAAUCAUAUUUUUCUAAGGUGGAAAAGUAUUUUUCCAUAUAGGAAUACCAUUUGUGGUUUUGGUGCACUAAAAUAGUGCUAGAAUCAAACCACCAACUUUGGGUGACAACACUCCUUGCCAUCAAGGGCAUGUAGUGCAACUCAAAGUAGGGUUUUAUUUUAUCCAGAAAUGAGGAAAGGGUUUUGAAAUUAAUCUGAUCUUGAGAAAUAUGGUUUUUAUCAUCACAUGAUCAAGCACACAAGCAUACAAUGACAAUCAUGGCACUCACAACAUUAGUUUUGAAAAAGUUUUAAUAAGCUCAGAUUUUUGCAUUACAGAGAAAGAUGUUAGUGGAAACAGGGUGUCACAGCAUGAGACGCUCGAGAAAGGUAAAACAAGUCCAGCAAAGCCGCCCGACGUGUCGACGAUCCCGACAGGAGCCGCGUAUCUCGUUCUCAGGACACGACGGAUAAGCGAAGCGUACGGUGGCCUGAUAGACAUCUCCCGAGUUGCCCCGGGUUGGCUCGUCACGUUGCUCUGUUUUAGACCAGCACUAGCAACACAGCCCCCAUGUAUUAUGUUGAAUUAGUGGUUGGGUUCAUGACGCCCUAUGUUUUUCACUAUUAUUAUGCUGGGAAAAUAUAGUACAAAUGUUGGUCCUUGCCAGAUGAGUUUUAUCCCAAAACGAAAAUCUAGGGGGUCCCCAUAACGACCCCAAGCAUGUUAGGAGCGCUCAUUUAUGGAACAUAGCAUCGAUAGCCGAAACUAAGGCGACAAAAGUGGAACAAAACAUCAGGCUAGAAGGCUAAGCCUUCCACCUUUUACCAAGUAUACACGUGUAUUAAAUUAAUUGGCAAUAAUAUGAUGAUAUAACAAGGAACCCAUGUUGGCACAUGGAAGCAGAUGAACAAACGUAGUUGAAUGGAUCCUCACAUUCCGACACGCUUGCGGAUCUCUACCGAGACCAAGGAAAUCGGAAACAUGAAUCAACACACGAUAUUCACCACAACAAAAGCACCGUAUGAUGGACAACCUAAUAUGAUGCAUGUCCAUUUAAAUUAUGGAAGGCAUGACAUGGUAAUUCACAACUAUCAAAAACUACACAUUAAGUUAAGCUCAAUAUGCAACGAGUUGCAUAUUGACGAAACUCCAAAUUUGAAUUAUUUAGUUCGCUCCCGUUUAGGUACACGACAAUAUUAAAUGUUGUUUAAACAUGGCAAGAGGUGAAGCAUGUGAUUCUACACGUCAUUCUAGUCGGUUUACACCUUAGAACAUUUGAACGGAGCUACACUCUACCAGAUACGUGCAACACAAGAUACUAUGCCAUAGAUGCAAGAUGCAUGCAAAUGACAGCCACGACACGUUUCAGUUUCGAUAACUCAAUGAGAUACCGAUGCAAAUGAAUGACGGGGUGAUCCCGGUUACCAGGUUCCCAUGAGCCGGAGGCAUGAAUAUGGGGUAGAAGCAUCAUAGUGCAGUCCAAAUAAUCUCAACAACCCGAACGGACUUAGUCAAAAGAAACAAGGUUCAAAUUCAGAUGACACUGCUCACAACGGGGAAUGAAGAGGCCGGAGGUAAUGACUCUGCUAGAACGCAGGAGGGAGGUCGGCCCUCUGGGUCUGGUGGCUGGGGACGCGCACAAAGGCUGGCAGACGCGGGAGCCCAUGAGUCUUGCAUACGUGGUCGCUACGAGCGUGUUCGCUGCGUUGGCGCUCCUGCUCGAUGCAGAGAGCUACGUGCAGUGCGCCGAGGUGUAGGUGAGAGAAUGUUGUGGGCGAGCUAGUCCUUGGGCACGGGGAGGAUGCAGGGCCGAAUGGCGGUUGGAAAAGAAUUGACCUGAAGAAGCACUCCGGUUGGAAAAGAAUUGACAUGACGACUCUGGUUGACAAGAAUUGAAAACACAAUUUGAUUGAGCAAAAGAAUUUGCAUUUCCAUAAAAAUAUGAGAACACCUCUUGGGAAGUUAUGGAUUCACCACUUGACAUCGAAGCAACUCGAAUUACCAUACUCCAACAAAACAGAGGAUUAGGCUUGCAAAUUAGACGGAACAAACAUAUUAAACAUAUUCCGCUUGAUAUUUUCGUGGAUAGGAUCGCACGGGUUCGAUAGUACAUUGGAUUGUCAUAUUGAAAUGACGGUUGAAUAUGCUCCAUAGGCGUAGCGAACUUCAAGUCUUGUCGAAGCACACUGUGACAUAUAACGAGACUGUCCCGUGUGAAAAUGACCGUGAACAAACAAAUCCACUAGAUGUCGAACCCCAACCUCACAUCAUGCAUCUGUUGGAAGAUUGUCCUAUAAGUAACUACUUGAAUUCCCACCUAAGAACUCUCGAAAUUUUCUCGUCAUGCAAUUGAGUCCAUGGAUACAAGGAGUAAAAUCCAUCACUCAACUCCUAGCAAUAACACUAUCCGUCCAGUGUAUCACAUUCGUUAACACAUAACUAGAGAUCUCGAAAACUCAUCUAUCUCAGAUCCUCGAAAACACAAUGAUACUAAGUAUGGCAGUACAUCCGGACGCUCUCCACCAGUACUGGGAUGCCAAACUUCUCUCGCCACUACUAGUUUUGAAGCAAUUUCGAACAUCCUCCAUCCUGAGAUACUAAGAAAUCUGAAUGAUAACGAUGUGCUCAAGAAUUCCCUGAAGCUCAACUCACCGGAAGAAAUCAAGUCAGAUAGGAGGCACCAAGACAUAACUCCGUUACAUCGACAUCAUAUAGAUUCCAGAAUACCCGCGUGAUCCUGAUUUUUUUUGAGUGAGAAGAGGAGUAUUAUUAAAAUUAUUACGUCAAGAUUCCUCACCAAAGCAUAGAAGAAGAGUACAAAGAAUCCUACUCUCCGAUAUAUAACUAGACUCAAAACAAUUUUUCACUAGACUCAACUCGGCCAGGUUCGAUCAAUCAAGGGGGCUCCUAGGUCGAUCCUGCUGUGAUACCAACUUGCAACGCCCAAGGUGCGAUCCUAUCUUUAUUUUGGCAAUAGCGCCUCGACAAGGAUAGAAGCACAUCUCGUCAUUUUGCAAGAAUGGAUAUCGAUACAAGUACAUGUACUGAAGAGAUGAGUAUAUGGAAUUGGCUUACACUUGCCACAAGCUACAUCAAGUUCACAUCAAUAGAACAAUAUACAAUCAUCAUGACCAAGAGCAGGGUCCGACUAUGGACCAAAACGAACGACAAAAGAACGACGUCCAUCCUUGCUAUCCCAGGUUACCGGCCUGUAACCCAUCCUAGAUCGAUGAUGAAGAAGAAAAACUUCAAAUAACACAAUCAUCGCGCUCACAUCUUAAUAUCACUUUACCUGUACCUGCAACUGGUGUUGUAGUAAUCUGUGAGCCACAGGUAACUCAACAAUCUCAUUUCCAAAGGUAUCAAGACUAGCAAAGCUUAAUGGGUGAGGUAUGGUUAAGUGGUGAGGCUGCAGCAAGUGACUAAGCAUUUAUUUGAGGUGGAUAACUUAUGAGUACAAAAACAAAAGAGGGGGAUGAUCUACGCAUAGAGGAUGUGAACUACUGAUGAUCAAACGAAUGAUCCUGGACAACUACUUACGUCAAACAUAACCCCAUCAUGUCCUUGAUCGGAGAAGGAGCUCACGAAAGAGACAUUCGCGGUUAUGCACUCAGUUGUCAAGUUUUAAUUAAGUUUACUUGAAGUUAUCUAGAACCGAAUGUUAAACUAAGUUCCCAAGUUGCCACAUCAUCGCGGGAACAGCUUUACAAAAGAUUUAACCCUGCAGGGAUGCUCCAAAUAGGCCAUCACAAACUACCACACACUACGCCGGAAUGACCUUGAUUAGGAAAACCCGUGAUCUCCUCGGGUUCCUAUUAGGAAACCUCAUCCUCGAGAAGUAUCCUCGGAAUCCAUGCACGAGACGCUCGAGAAAGGUAAAAGAAGUCCAGCAAAGCCGCCCGACGUGUUGACGAUCCCGAUAGGAACCACGUAUCUCGUUCUCAGGACACGACGGAUGGCCGAAGCAUACGGUAGCCUGAUAGACAUCUCCCGAGUUGCCCCGGAUUGACCCCGCACGGUGCUCUGUUUUGGACUGGCACCAGCAGCACGGGCCCCUGUAUUAUGUUAAAUUACUCCUUGUGUUCAUGACGCCCUAUGUUGUUUAGUAUUAUUAUGUUGGACAAAUAGAGUACCAAUGUUGGGCCUUGCCAGACGAGUUUUAUCCCAAAACGAAAAUCUAGGGGGUUUCCAUAACAAGCCAAGCAUGUUAGGAGCGCUCAUUUAUGGAACAUAACACCGGUAGCCGAAACUAAGGCGAUAAAGGUGGAACAAAACGUCAGGCUAGAAGGCAAAGCCUUCCAACUUUACCAAGUAUAUAGGUGCAUUGGAUUAAUUGGCAAUAAUCUGGUGAUAUAACAAGAAACUCAUGUUGGUACAUGGAAGCAACUGCACCUGCAACGAGCAACGCUAUGAAAAGGUUGAGCAAGUGGUAACUUAGCCAAACAAGGUUUGCUGGUCAGUGGAGAGAUUAGAGGUUUUCAUGGCAAUGUUGGGAGGCUGGUAUUUAACAGGUGAUAAACAGCGAGACAUAGCAAAAUAAACAAGACAACUAGCAUGACAAUGAUAGUAAUGGUAUCUAGGGAAAUGAUCAUAUUUCUGUGAUCUAGCUUGGAAGAAGAAUGAAUCCGUGAAGCAAACGAACCAACGUAGUCGAACAAAUCCUCACAUUCCGACACGCUUGCCGAACUCUAUCGAGACGAAGCAAACCGGAAACAAGAAUUAACACACGAUAUUCACCACAAAAAAAACACGAUAUGACGAACCAAUUAAUAUGAUGCAUGUCCAUGUCAAUUUUGAAAGGCAUGAUAUGGUAAUUCACAGCAAUCAAAAACUACACAUUAAAUGAAGCUCAAUAUGCAACGAGUUGCAUAUUGACAAAACUCCACAUUUCAAUUAUUUAGUUCGCUCCCGUUUAGGUACACGGCAAUAUUAAAUGUUGUUUAAAAAUGUCAAGGGGUGAAGCAUAUGAUUCUACAUAGCAUUCUAGUCGGUUUACAUCUUAGAACAUUUGACUGGAGCUACGCUCUACCAGAUACGUGCAACACAAUAUACUAUGUCAUGGAUGCAAGACACAUGCAAAUGACAACCACGACACAUUCCAGUUCCGAUAACUCGAUCAGAUACCAAUACAAAUGAAUUGAGAGUGUGAGCGUGCCUAAAAAUGAUGGAUGAUCCCAGUUACCGAGUUCCAUGCGCCGAAGGCAUGAAUAUGGAUAUACAUGCAACUAACAUUUCAUCUAGGAAAUGUCGAACUCGAAACUCAUACAACAAUACAAAAUCUACAGAGCUGAAAUAAAAUAAAAUAUGCAGGGCCCGAAGCAUCAUAGUGCACCGGUCGAGAAGUAGAUUAGGCCCAAGGAACUGAGGGUGUGCAUUUAGACAAAACAUGACAAAGUAAAAUUGUCGAACUCGGCACCUCGAGCUUCAAAGUUGGCUGCUCUAGCCAACUGGGAUACCGAUAUGCUCGUGGUGAAAAGUGGUGGUUAAUCUAAAUAAGCUCAACAACCCGGACGGACCUAGUCAAAAGAAACAGAGAUCAAAUUCGGAUGAGACAACUUACAACUGGGAAUGAAGAGGCCGGCGGCCAUGACUAUGCUAGUAGGCCCGAGGGAGUCGGCCCUCCGGGUCUGGUGGCUGGGGACAAACAUAUAGGCUGCCGGACGGGGCAGUCUAGGAGUCCUGAAUGUGCGGACGCUACGAGCGCGUUCGCUACGCUGGGGCUCCUACUCGAUGCACAGAGCUGCACAGAAUGCUCUGAGAUGCAGGUGAGCGAAUGUUGCGGGCGAUCUGGGGCUUGGGCACGGGAAUGAUGCAGGGGCAAACGGAGGCGACCGAAGUCUACGCGGGAUCGAGGCCCACCUGGCCGAUGCGGUCAGCGCUCGACGAUCGAGCGUUGCUGCUGUCCGUUCAUGGUUGUGCCAUGGUUGGAAGGAGGCGGCACAUGUGGUGGCUUGGAGCGACGGCGAGGCAUGGAGCGACCGGGAAUGGGAGGAUCCGGGGACAGGGACACCGGAUCUGGGCGAGGUUCGACGGAUCCGGCUAGUUCCCAUGGUGGCGACGUCGGGGCUUCGAUGGGCACGGCUUGAAACAGAGAGAGAGAGAGAAAUUAGAGAGAGAGGUCGAGCAGAGGGAGAGAGAGAAGGCAUGGGGGCGGUGAUGUGACCUGGUUGCUGCUAACCGACGAGGCUGCACAAAGCGCUCGGGGACAUGUGCGAGCGCAAGACGAGGGACACGGUCGGGGCGCAGGAAAUUUAUACUCCUAGAUCACUACGUUCUCGACAGAAUGGGUGGCGGCAGCGCGUACGGGACAGAUCUCCCAG